rnacentral:rRNA from 1 species
AGAGUUUGAUUAUGGCUCAGGAUGAAAGCUGGCGGCGUGCUUAACACAUGCAAGUCGAACGAGGUCCAACCUUCGGGUGAAGACCGAGUGGCGAACGGGUGAGUAACACGUGGGGAACCUGCCCUUCUCUCUGGGAUAACCUCGGGAAACCGGAGCUAAUACCGGAUACUCCUUGCGGACCGCAUGGUCUGCUCGGGAAAGCUCCGGCGGAGAAGGAUGGCCCCGCGGCCCAUUAGCUUGUUGGUGGGGUAACGGCCCACCAAGGCGACGAUGGGUAGCCGAGCUGAGAGGCUGAUCGGCCACACUGGGACUGAGACACGGCCCAGACUCCUACGGGAGGCAGCAGUGGGGAAUCUUGCGCAAUGGGCGAAAGCCUGACGCAGCAACGCCGCGUGCGGGAUGAAGGCUCUCGGGUCGUAAACCGCUUUCAGCAGGGAUGAAAAUGACAGUACCUGCAGAAGAAGCCCCGGCUAAAUACGUGCCAGCAGCCGCGGUAAUACGUAUGGGGCAAGCGUUAUCCGGAUUCAUUGGGCGUAAAGCGCGCGUAGGCGGCUUGUUAAGUCAGGCGUGAAAUCCGGGGGCUCAACCCGCGGCUUGCGUCUGAACUGGCAGGCUUGAGUCUGGUAGAGGAAAGUGGAAUUCCUGGUGUAGCGGUGAAAUGCGCAGAUAUCAGGAGGAACACCAGUGGCGAAGGCGGCUUUCUGGGCCACGACUGACGCUGAGGCGCGAAAGCUAGGGAAGCGAACAGGAUUAGAUACCCUGGUAGUC